GAAGACCUAAGAGACCAUUGAUGAUGAGUUAUCAGAUGAAUCAUCAUUAUUAUUGUUUUUUGUAGCGCCAAGAAAUAAAAAAAAUGCUCUGACAAUUUAACUAUGUUGGACCCUUAGUGGUAAAGGACAUCCUUAUUUAGAGUCGUUAAAAUGUGGGGGGAAAAAAGCAUGUUUUAGAUUCAGGGAAGAAUAGUAGUAGACAUUAGAGUAACCAGAAAAAAUGUUGUGUAGAUGAGCUCAUGACCAAGAGUCCCUUGCGUGACCUUUGAGCUCCCAGUUCUGUGUACCAGAUACGACUUUGAAAAAAAAAUCAAUUCUUUGGUUGUCUCUAAAUAAUCGUUUCAUCCUUUAUUGUUUAUUGGCUUAUCUUCUUCAGAUAGGUACAUUUAAAAAAAUGUAACAAAUCAUAUAUUCCUGCUCUCGCUCCUUCUCCUCUUUCCCUCAUAUUCCCCCCUUUCAUUGUCUUGAAUUUGGUGGGUAUUACUGUCCCAUAUGUUUUCAUAUUUUUACGAUGUAUGUUCGUAUCCAUAGCAAAAAAUGAGUCUGACUUUUGAUGAGGCAUAUUCUUUUUUUCAUUUUUUUUUCUUUUUUCUUUUUUUUUUAGGACUGUACUCACGGCAUAUGGUGGCAACACUGGAUCCUUAACCCACGGAGUGAGCCCAGGGAUUGAACCUGUGUCCUUGAGGAUACUAGUCAGAUUCAUUUCCACUGAGCCACGAUGGGAACGCCAAUGAUGAGGAAUAUUCUUAAAACACAAAGCCAUUCUGAAGAGCCUCUCAGACAGGCCCCACUGACGUUUGAUCUCGCAGGAGCUGGGAUGUUUUCAGUGUGGCGAGCAGAACAGUCCAGAGGCUGGGGACUUGAAACGACAUGAGGAGAAACUGCAAAGUCUGGGCUACGUCGAUGGGUAAGCCAUUCCUACCUCGAGUAUUACCCUGGUAAGGAAAUGAUUCCUUGUGCCCUUGUCAGAUGGCAAGAGGAGAUAUCUUGGUCCCUCGUCCAGGGUCAUUGUUUGGAGGAGAAGUCUAACUCUCACGGGGUCAGACAGGAGAGCAGCUCGAUGACUUGAGUUGGAAAUGUCUAGACGAUUAGCCUAAGGAGAAGAAGAAGAGGCAGGGAAGUCAACAAAACUCAUCCAGAGCAGGGCUACCUCGGUAGGGUGGCUGGCAAGAUUGUGUAUAAACUAGGAUUAUGUUUGGCUGCAAAUGAUAGAAAACGCUCUAUAACGACUUAAAUAAAGGAUAAUUUGUCAAAGAGAACA
rnacentral:lncRNA from 1 species